AUUUGGAGAAGAAACAUUUAUGUUCUCCACGUAAACCAUUGAAAUCGGUUAAAUAAAACGUGGUUCUGUUUUUAAAAAUCUCCGGGAAACUUGCGUGUUUUUAGAGCAGUGUGAGCAAACCACGCGGCAGUCGAUGCGACGUCUGUGGCUGCUGAUACAAUCUGGUUUGCAAUGCAUCAUGGAAAUUGUAGUUGAUUUACAUGUACAGUGUUAAAUCCGCUUUGCAAAAAAGACUACUUUUCCCAGAAUGCACCCAGUGACACCAUCCCGCCUACCAGAGGAUCCGGAAGUUGCGUAGCAGCUAUUCAGCAACUCAACGCAGUCGCGGUAAAAUUCAAAUAACUAAGUUAGUUGUUCUAACUUCGACAAUCACGCUGUGUUGGUUUUAUCUUUUGAAGUUUUAAUACAUGAUCAAGUGAAGAACAUCGGAAGCUGCUUCUUGCUGAACAACAGCUGAUCUUUCUGAUGCCACCAAAGCGGAAAAUAAAAUGAAACAGGCGACUAAUGGAUGAAAAUGACCCCGAUGAGGAGGCUACUGCAGGCAUGGCAAGUAGAGAAGUUCACAAGACCUCACAGAACAUCGCAGGCAACAGGAUUUAACUUUACAGUCUCACAGACAGGCAAUACAGUCACCAUGGCAUCAUGAAACACCCAGACCACAGAGAAAAAGCCUCUCAAGUGAUGACCGAUUAAUAAGAUUACGGUGGCUGAGAGGUCUCAACAUUCUGCAACAGAAGAAAAUGGAUGCAAACAGAAAAAAAACCCUGUAAAAUAAGAACAUCUUUAUCACAUGUGCUAAAACACAACCAAAUACAUAAAUGCUCUCCAAAUGUCCGACCAACAAAUAUCUACUCGACAAUGGUGUUCAUUGUUUUAUUUUUAUUAUUAUUUAUUGUUUGCAUUGUAUUUGCAGCAUGUGUGUUGUGAAACUGAUGUCUUGACUUGCUGGUGUUUUUCUUGUUUGCAUGUUUUCUUCUGUUGCAGGACUUUGAGAUCUCUCGGCCAACAUAUUUUUGUUAAUUUUUGUAUCUCAUUAUUUAAGAAUGCCACAUACACAUUUUUGUAACAUUUUAAUUUAUUGCUGUCUUUUUAUUAUUCUUGUAAUGUGAAUUAUAGUUAUAUUUUGUUUUGUCUUACUCUAGUAUUGGCUUGUAUUUUGUUGUUUAUCCUUUUAUCUGGCUGAGAUUUUCUUCCCUUCUCAAUAAAAUAUUGUUCUUUGCAUUUCUGUAGUGUCAUUUUUUUUAUUAUACCUUGUUUUACACAGGAAUAAUUUCUGGUUCAGUUUUGGGGACUCUGGUAUAAUAUUGGCCCAGUUAUGGCUGUUUUCUGCAGCUUCUGGAUAAGAUGUGGCUGAGUUCUGGCCUAAAGGUGGUGGCAGUUUGGCUUUUGUCUGGCUGACAUAUGGGGAGUACGGUGUUGUUUUGGCCCAGUUCUGGGUAAUAUCUGGGUACACUGCAAAGCUCUGGGCAAGUUUUGGUUUGCUCACGGCUUUGAUCUGGUUGACUUACGGCAAACAGCACUUGGGCCAACCUUGGCCCGUAAUUCCAUGCGGUAUGUGGGCCAAAAUCUCAGUCGAAAUUAAGCCAGAUCCGGCCCAAGGCCAAUUUGCUAUCUGGGAUGGAGUUGAGCAA